rnacentral:rRNA from 1 species
UACGGAGGGGGCUAGCGUUGUUCGGAAUUACUGGGCGUAAAGCGCACGUAGGCGGUUCGUUAAGUCGGGGGUGAAAUCCUGGAGCUCAACUCCAGAACUGCCUUCGAUACUGGCGAUCUCGAGUCCGGAAGAGGUGAGUGGAACUCCUAGUGUAGAGGUGGAAUUCGUAGAUAUUAGGAAGAACACCAGUGGCGAAGGCGACUCACUGGUCCGGUACUGACGCUGAGGUGCGAAAGCGUGGGGAGCAAACAGG